AGCAAAUUGAGGGUAUUUCUGGAGGCUGUGUGGUCGUUUGUGAGAGGAUGGGAAGAAGGAGAACCCCCUGCUAAAGGGCCUUGCUGCCAUACUUGAUUGAUUGUGGUCAUAUUAGCAGGAAGAACAAUUGUUGCAAAAAUUGUCAUUUCAUUAUUGACAUAAGUAGCUGUAAGUUGAGGAACUUCAAAGCUCAACUGGCUUUCUUGCAGGGUUGGACCAGGGGCAACAACAUUAGAAGUGUAAGCAUGAGCAAUUCCAGAGGAAUUUUGGUAAGCUACAAGAGCUUGAGAGCCAAACAUAUUAAGGCUU
rnacentral:misc_RNA from 1 species